AUCGCUUCUUGGCCUUUUGGCUAAGAUCAAGUGUAGGAAUAUAGUUUUAUUUUGAAACUUUGAAAUAUUUGCCUUAACUAUUAACUUGUAAGUAACAAGGAUAGAGUGAUGGGCUUUUUCAGAAUGGGGUAAAAUGUUUAAUAACAAUUUUU
ensembl:snRNA U2 U2 spliceosomal RNA